AGCGAACGCUGGCGGCAGGCCUAAUACAUGCAAGUCGAGCGCACCUUCGGGUGAGCGGCGGACGGGUGAGUAACGCGUGGGAAUAUGCCCUUUGGUACGGAACAACUGAGGGAAACUUCAGCUAAUACCGUAUGUGCCCUUCGGGGGAAAGAUUUAUCGCCAUUGGAGUAGCCCGCGUUGGAUUAGCUAGUUGGUAGGGUAAAGGCCUACCAAGGCUACGAUCCAUAGCUGGUCUGAGAGGAUGAUCAGCCACAUUGGGACUGAGACACGGCCCAAACUCCUACGGGAGGCAGCAGUAGGGAAUCUUGCGCAAUGGGCGAAAGCCUGACGCAGCCAUGCCGCGUGAAUGAUGAA
rnacentral:rRNA from 1 species